UACGGAGGGUGCGAGCGUUGUCCGGAUUUAUUGGGCGUAAAGAGCUCGUAGGCGGUCUGUCGCGUCUGGUGUGAAAAUCCAGGGCUUAACCCUGGACCUGCAUCGGGUACGGGCAGACUAGAGUGCGGUAGGGGAGAUCGGAAUUCCUGGUGUAGCGGUGAAAUGCGCAGAUAUCAGGAGGAACACCGGUGGCGAAGGCGGAUCUCUGGGCCGUAACUGACGCUGAGGAGCGAAAGCAUGGGGAGCGAACAGG
rnacentral:rRNA from 1 species